CCACUCCCGGCACGGGGAGGUAGUGACGGAAAAUAACAAUACGGGACUCUUUUGAGACCCCGUAAUUGGAAUGAGCACACUCCAAACCGUUUAACGAGGAUCCAUUGGAGUACCAGUCUGGUGCCAGCACACGCGGUAACUCCAGCUCCAAUAGCGUAUAUUAAAGUUGUUGCGGUUAAAAAGCUCGUAGUUGGAUCUCAGUUCCGGCCGGGGGGUCCGCCUUAAACCGGCGGCCACUCCCCCGCAGCCGAACAGCCGGCCGGUUUCCCCCGAUGAUCUUCACCGGUUGUCCCGGGUGACCGGCAAGUUUACUUUGAAAAAAUUAGAGUGCUCAGGGCAGGCGCGACGCCUGGAUAAAGGUGCAUGGAAUAAUGGAAUAGGACCUCGGUUCUGUUCUGUUGGUCUUCGGGACACGAGGUAAUGAUUAAGAGGGACAGAUGGGGGCAUUCGUAUUGCGGCGCUAGAGGUGAAAUUCUUGGACCGCCGCAAGACGAACUACUGCGAAAGCAUUUGCCAAGAAUGUUUCCAUUAAUCAAGAACGAAAGUUAGAGGUGCGAAGGCGAUCAGAUACCGCCCUAGUUCUAACCAUAAACGAUGCCAGCCGGCGAUCCGGCGUCGUUCCUCAAAUGACACGCCGGGCAGCUUCCGGGAAACCAAAGCCUUUGGGUUCCGGGGGAAGUAUGGUUGCAAAGCUAAAACUUAAAGGAAUUGACGGAAGGUCACACAAGGAAUGGAGCUUGCGGCUUAAUUUGACUCAACGCGGGGUAGCCUACCCAGCCAGGGCACAGGAAGGAUUGACAGAUUAAGAGCUCUUUCUUGAUUCUGUGGGUAGUGGUGCAUGUCCGUUCUUCGUUGGUGGAGCGAUUUGUCUGGUUAAUUCCGAUAACGAACGAGAUUCUAGCCUGCUAAAUAGGCGUUCCCGGUCCUUCGGGGGCCGGGCGCUCUUCUUAGAGGGAUCGGCGGCGCUCAGCCGCACGAAACAGAGCAAUAACAGGUCUUGAAUGCCCUUAGAUGCCUGGGGCUGCACGCGUGCUACAUUGAAGGAACCAGCGUGUGCUCUCCCUGUCCGGCAGGACUGGGUAACCCGCUGAACCUCCUUCGUGCUGGGGAUAGGAGUUUGUAACUGUCCUCCUUGAACGAGGAAUUCCUAGUAAGCGCGAGUCAUAACCUCGCGUUGAUUAGGUCCCUGGCCUUUGUACACACCGCCCGUCGCUACCCCCGAUGGAAUGAUUUAGUGAGGUCUUCGGACUGGCGCUCGGAGGGG
rnacentral:rRNA from 1 species